UGGUCACAUCGAAUUGAAACAUUGAUUCCCCGUACAAUCACUGAAGUUAAGCAGUGUUGAACUUGGUCAGUACUGAGAUCGGUGACCAUUUGGGAAUACCAGGUGCUGUAA